GACGAACGCUGGCGGCGUGCUUAACACAUGCAAGUCGAACGGUAAGGCCCCAGCUUCCUGUGGUACACGAGUGGCGAACGGGUGAGUAACACGUGGGUGACCUGCCCCGCACUUCGGGAUAACCCUGGGCAACUGCGUCUACUACCUGAGAGGACCGCACCGUGGGGGUGUGGUGGCAAGUUUUUCGGUGUGGGAUGGGCCCUGGGCCUAUCAGCUUGUUGGUGGGGUAAUGGCCUACCAAGGCGGCGACCGGUAGCCGGCCUGAGAGGGUGGACGGCCACCUUGGGCCUGAGAGACGGACCAGACUCCUACGGGAGGCAGCAGGGGGGAAUAUUGCACAAUGGGCGGAAGUCUGAUGCGGAGACGCCGCGUUGGGGAUGACGGCCUUCGGGGUGUAAACUCCUUUAACCAUAGACGAAGGUUUUCUGACGGUAGAUGGAGAAGAAGCACCGGCUAACUACGUG
rnacentral:rRNA from 1 species